AACCAAGGCGGUGCCUCGGGUUUGCCUAAUAGUAAAGAAAAAAAUAAAAGAAAUUGAACCUAAUUAAAGCAAAAACCUAAGAAAACUGAAAAAAGCCUAAAUCCUAUCGUCAAUUAGAAUCACAUUUCCUCUUUUUUGCAUCUAUAGUUGUUGUGGUGGAGUAUACUGAUUGUCCCUUUUCAUCACUGGAAAAGAGUCUCAUUGAAGCGCUCUACCAGAUUUCUCCUUAAUCUGAGUUCAUCAGAGAGUGGUGAGGACAGAUGUUUUUGUGUUGCAUCCCCGGACUUAGACAAAAAUGUCCUAUUUCUACCAAUUCUAGAGUCUUCUUUAGUCGUUGGCGAUGAUGGGUUCAAUCUCCGUCGGUACUUCUUCAAUCCAAUAGGAUGGGUUAUCCAGGUUGUAUCCUCGAGUUGAAAGGGCAUGCGCUACGUCAUUUGUCUUUCGAGGGGUAUACUCAAAAGAUAAGGUAACAAAGCUGAGUCUUUUUCUUUGGAUUUCACUAAUGAUGUUUCCAAUCACCGAUCUAUCUACUGAAUAUGAAUUAAGCUUUUUAUUGAUUGUAAGGGCAUCUCCUUCGACAACCAGAUCUCGAAAGCCCAUUUCUUCCCCAAAUAUGACGGUCUGUAGACAUGCCUUCGCUUCAGCAGUGGUCGGAUCCCUUGUUCUUCCUAGUGGGUGUCCAAGCAGGACCUGUUUUGUGAAUUCGCAAUCUCGAAAGAGGUGUUCCGUAGUUUCUUCUUCAACUGAGCAGACUGAACAUGCAACAUCAUUCUUGAUUCUUCGAAGUCUAAGAGUACUGAGCGUCGGAAGAAAAUUAUUGGCAACUCUUCACAGAUGUAUUUUUAUUUUACUUGGGAUCGGGAGAUUCCAAAUCUUUGUAAAAUAUUCUUUUUUGGUAAUUUGGCCCAUAAUAUAAUCCUGUAGGUGUAGAGUCUUAGUCAUUAGCCAUUUAAAGCCACUUUGAACUGUGUAUUCGCCUAAUUUGUCCCCUCGCCAUAUUAGAACAUCUGACUGCGUCUUGUUUACCAAAGGAAUAGACAGAACUGCCUCCGCUUGCUCCCUUUCGAUGGGUAGCCAAGCGUCAUUCCAGAUGUUUGUUGAUUGAUCGUUCCCUAUCCUCUAGCCUGUUCCUUCUUCAAGUAAGCUUCGUGCGUUCCAAAUGCUGCGCCAGGUAAAGGAGGGGUAAGCUUUUAACCUUGCAUUUAAAAAUUUAUCAUGCGGAUAAUAAUUUAAUUUCAUAACGCGCGCAAACAAACAGUCAGGUUGGGUGAUUAGUCUCCAUCCCUAUUUAGCCAACAGGGCCGUAUUAAACAUUGUUAAAUCCCUAAACCCCAUAACACUGAACGCUUUUGGACUAAUCGUGAACCAACUACACCAGUGAAUGCCUUUAUUAGUUUUUAAAUUGUGCCACCAAAAUUUACUCACCAGAUUUUCUAGUUCUUUGCAAAGUAAAACUGGUAACUUAAAACACUGCAUGGCGUAAAUCGGGAGGGCUUGUAAAAUUGAUUUAAUAAAAACUUCUUUACCCCCAAAGGACAAAUUGCGGAUACUCUAAUUCUUUGAUUUUUGGAUGAAUCUUUCUUUUAGUUCAAGAAACGCUCAUUUCUUUUUCCGCCUACCAUUGUUGGUAAACCCAGAUAUUUUUCUAGAUUAUUUGAAAUUCGUACCCCCAAAACUCUCCCUGUCUGCCCUUUAAUUUCGUCUUGUACAUUUUUGCUAAAGUAGAUCAAUAACUUCUUGAAAUUCACUAGUUGUCUGGAAAUACUUUCGUAUUCAUUAACUACUACCUUCAUUAACAUUACGCCUUCCAUUGUUGCUUUCCCAAAUAAGAUGCUGUCAUCAGCAAAGAAAAGAUGAGUGAUAGCUAGUUCUCUUAUUCUCACUUUAGCCCCGUCAAUUUGUCUUUCCCUUUUAGCCUUGUUCAGGAGCUUAAAGCAGCCUUCUGCACAUAUGAUAAAUAAGUAUGGGCUCAAUGGAUCUCCUUGUUUGAUUCCUCUUAUUGGUUUAAAUUCUGCCCUUGAAUCCCAUUAAGUACUACUGAGUAUGACAUUGUUCGUACGCACUUCAUUAUGAGCUCAAUCCACCUAUUGCAAAAGCCUAGCAUUUUCAUCAUGCUUUCAAGGUAGUUCCAUUCCAUUCUGCCAUAGGCUUUGCUCAUAUCCAAUUUUAAAGCAAAAUACACCGUGCCUCCUCUUUUCUUUUUUUUUUGAAAGAGUGUAGUAAUUCAUAAGCAAUCAUUAUGUUGUCAGUUAUUUGUCUUCCUAGGACAAAAGCACAUUGUGUUUCUUCAAUACAUAAGUGUAGCACCCUUCGAAAUCUAUUAACCACUAUUUUUUAGAUCAAUUUGUAUGUGACAUUACAAAGACUUAUGGGUCUGAAUUGUCCCAAAUUCGUGGGGGUUUGUACCUUUAGGAUAAGUACAAUAUUGGUUUUAUUAACUUCCUCAAAAUCCAUCCCAUUAUUCAGUACUUGAAGGUAAUAAUUAACAUCUUUCCUAUAAUAUUCCAUAAUUUUUGGUAGAAAAACGCCGGGUAUCCAUAUUUUCCUAAUGCUUUGAGAGGUGCCAUACUUUUUAAAGGUUCCACUACCUCUUCUUCCUUAAAUUCUCUAAUAAGUUCCUCAUUUAGAGAUUCUGUAAUACACGGUUGGACUUCGCUUUUGAGCCUUUCACAACUUUGUAGUGGAUUGGAAGAAAAUAGAUGUCGAAAAAAUUGGUUGCAAGUUCGUUAAUGGCGUUGUCACCCUCCACCCAUUCACCCCUUCCAUCCUCCAGAGUUUUUACUGUAUUUCUUUUUUUGCUUUGUGUUGCAAAAUUGUGGAAGAAGGCAGUGUUUCGGUCCCCCAUACGUAACCAAUUAGCUCUUGCCAGUUGUUCCCAAUAUAAUUCUUCCUUGUCGGCUUCCAUGUUGAAUGUUAACUUAACUUCUGUUAAUUCUGCCAAAAUAUCAUUAUCUAGAUCUUCUCUAUUUAAAUUAAUAAGUCGUGAUUUUAAAUCCUCUUUGGUCUUCCAUCUGGAUCUACUACUAGAUUUAUCCCAAUUUUUCAAUUUCAAUUUCAGAUCUUCUAAUUUCUCUGGCAGAUCCUUAUCUCCCAAAUCUCAUCCUUGAUUGAUUACCUAUUCGAAAUCGUUUUCCAGCACCCAAUCAACAUUUAGUCUAAACAUAUUUUUACUAUUCUCAAAUCUCUCUCUUCCAUGCGUCACUAUGUUAAUAAAUAUGGGACAAUUGUCGGAAAUACUAUGACACUUAUGUUGAACUGAGAAAUUUAAGAACCUUUCCCACCAUAGUGGAUUGGCCACCCCUAUCCAGUCUUUCACGAAUGUUAUUGCUUGGAAGUCUCCCUCGUUCCCAUGUAAACCAUUGUCCUGAAAAUCCUAAGUCAUUCAAUUCACAAUCUUCCAAAGCCUCCCUAAAUGCCAACAUUUGUCUUUCCUCCCUUAAUCUACUCCCUCUUUUUUCAAACGAGAACAGUAUUUCAUUACAAUUCCCCAUAACAAGCCAUGACAACUAGUUGCUUCCUUUUAGCUGUCUAAGGAGGUUCCAUGAAUCUUUCCCUUUCUGUUCAAUUGAUGAGCCAUAAAAGCCUGUAAAACGCCAAUACUCUUCUCCACUAUUUUCUAUAACUUCUAUAUCUAUAUGAUCUUUAGAAUAACUUUUCAAUUUAACAUAUACUCCUUCUUUCCAACCAAGAGAAAGUCCCCCUUUUGAUCCUUCUGCACACACAUCAAUCCCGUUUGCAUAUCCACAUAUUUUCCUUAUUGCUUGAAUUCAAUUUUCCUCAUAUUUUUUUUUUGUAUCAGUGGACCGAUUGGAUUAUUGAUUUUUAGUUCAACCGAUUGAUUUGGUCUAGUUCCAACAUAAUGCCCACCAAAGGUGUUUACAGGUCGAGUCUAUAAAUCAAUACAUACAUAACUGCCUAAGCCUGCCCCGACAUAAAAUAUGUGCCUCAAAUUUUACUCAAACUCGCUUAUAUUUGUAAAUGAUUAAUUCAAACUCAUUUAGGCUACCCAUAUUGUUUAACUUAACAUAUUUUUUAAUAUUUACUUUAUGAUAUAAUAUAUUUAAUUUAAUAUGAUCUAAAUUACCUAAAAUUUAAAAGAAAAGAGAAAAAAAUUCAUAUUAUAAACUUGAAAAUGGGUCGAGUCAAAUUAAGCUUGACAUUGAAUAUUAAAACCCGAAUAUGACCCAUAUUUUAAACCAAUAAGUAUAAUUUUUAUUUAUCCAAGCCUAUUUUUCAAAAUCUUUCUAAACUUUUCUCCAAACCUAUGGUAUACUAGGGUGUAAAUGAGACAUUGGUGCUCGCAAGCUACUCGAGUUUGACAAAAAAAAUAUUUCAAACUCGAUUCGGUAAUUAUCGAGUUGAGCUCGAGCUAUCGAUCAAGUUGAAUUCGAGCUUAAUAAUACUUGACUAGAAUGUCUCGUGAGACUUAUCAAGCUUUUCAUAUUUUUUAUAUUAUUAAAUUAUGUUAUUGCCCAUAAUAUAUAUUAUUAGCCCUAAGCUUAACUAUUGAGUCGAGCUCGAAUACAAAAAUUGGUAAACAAGCUUAAUCGAACUUGAACUUAAAAAUAAAUGUUCAACUAAACUUGAAUUGAAUAUUGAACUCCGAAUUUUGAAUCGAGCUUGAACUUAACAAUAUUUAGGUCAACUCAACUCGAUUACACCCCUAUAUAUAAAUAUGGGCUGUUACUGACCUAAAAGACGGAGAGUAGCAUGUAAGUACAUUUGUUUUAACUUAAACCAGUAUGGUUACUACUAAGAAAUAAAAUUUACGACCAUAAGGAACAUCGAGUAUGGAUAAUCUUUUUUCUGAAUAUAGCUAAUUAAACAUAAUUAAAUUUUGUAGUAAACUGUGUAGCCAAUCAAAAUUUGUUCUUAAAACUUAAAACAACAACUUUAUUUCAAGAAGAUUUGGGUUGUGUUUAUGCCACCAAAUAUUAAUCAAAUGAAGAUUAUUAUUAUAAAAUAAUUUAAUUUUCUUAUAUAUAUAAAGCUUUUCUCGUGAUCUCACAUGCAUUUGAUCAUAAUCAAGUCAAAUCUAAGUCAUUUAUUAGUAGGGUCCAUUUUCUUUUCACAUUUUAUAAAGAAAUUGUCAGCUUAUGUUUCUUUUCCUUUUGUACAGAGAAAGUUUCAGUCUUCUGCAUUAUUGUGAAUGCAUGUAAAUGUCUUUUUUCUUUUUAAUGUAUAUAAAUUAAAGCGAAAAUGCCUCCUUCAAUUAGGUUUUUAAAACAAAUUUAAUUAUUACGUUAGGGUAUUCUAAAGUAAGGUUGAUUUAGCAAAGAUAACAAGUGAUUGGUAAAAGCUAUAUAUUGCUUUUGAAUGGUGACUUAUGAGAUAAUAUUAGAUAAAAGAGAGUAGAGAUUGUGAUAUAUAUAUAUAUAUAUACAUGAUGGUCCAUGCAAACUCAUAAAUAAAACAAAAGAUAUAAGAAGUAGUGCAUGCUGCAUCAUUUUACCUUUUCUUUAAUUUAGUGAUCUAUCAUCCUACAUGAAAUUAAUUGAAUAUAUAUAUAUAUACUGUUUAAAAUUUCAGCA